rnacentral:rRNA from 1 species
GAUGAACGCUGGCGGCGUGCCUAAUACAUGCAAGUCGAGCGAACAGAUAAGGAGCUUGCUCCUUUGACGUUAGCGGCGGACGGGUGAGUAACACGUGGGUAACCUACCUAUAAGACUGGGAUAACUUCGGGAAACCGGAGCUAAUACCGGAUAACAUUUGGAACCGCAUGGUUCUAAAGUGAAAGAUGGUUUUGCUAUCACUUAUAGAUGGACCCGCGCCGUAUUAGCUAGUUGGUAAGGUAACGGCUUACCAAGGCAACGAUACGUAGCCGACCUGAGAGGGUGAUCGGCCACACUGGAACUGAGACACGGUCCAGACUCCUACGGGAGGUAGCAGUAGGGAAUCUUCCGCAAUGGGCGAAAGCCUGACGGAGCAACGCCGCGUGAGUGAUGAAGGGUUUCGGCUCGUAAAACUCUGUUAUUAGGGAAGAACAAACGUGUAAGUAACUGUGCACGUCUUGACGGUACCUAAUCAGAAAGCCACGGCUAACUACGUG